rnacentral:sRNA from 1 species
UCGAGAAAGACUGCGGCCGUGUACUGGCGCA